AAAAAAAAAAAGAAAGUAAGUUGUCCUUUAACUGAAGAAUUGAGAAAAAACUACCUUUGUAGUCAACUUUCCUAUCCACAAUCAUAUGAAAUUAUGGAGCUAAUGAGGAUGGGGAAAUGAAUGUUGGGUUUAGUAACCACUGUCACAGCCAGAAACAGGCCUAUCCAAGAAUCUGGUGGUUAGAGUAUCUGAGCAGGAUCUAUGGGAGGAAAAGGCUGAGACUUUGUAUUGAAUAUUCUCAAAGUACUUUCUCAAAGGAAGUACUGAGAGGAGCUAUCAACACAGUAGUCCUGUAUAAAUCUCCAGCAUUGGAGUCUGCUGGGUUAGAGGAGAAAGUUGAAGGCAUAAAACUAGUUAGGGGAUGAUUGCAAUCCUUUUAGGUGAGAGGCAAUGAGGACCUAAAGUCACAAGUCAGAUGGGAAGAGAUGGGUGGUUGAGAAAUAACUGUGCUGUGGUGUCUGACUGGGAGUGGGCAGACCCCAUUUCAUCCCCAGGAAGGGGAAAUCUGAGGUGAGAAUCAGGUUUUGCAGGUAGAACAGUGAGUGUUUUGGGCUUACUUUUUACUUUUGAGUAGUAUUUUACUUUUUAUUCACCUGACUACUUCAUAGUAUCAACCAGAUAAGAAAAUACACUAGGUUAUGGCAUUGCAAGCUUUAAAAAUAGUGGUAUAUUUUUCUUACGAAGAAGGUGAAUUUCAUAUGGAGUUGAAACUGGCUGUUUAAUAAACAAAAUAAAGAUUAACUUCUCAUUUCAGUCAAUAAUGUAUCAUAGAAACCUGGUAUUCUCUCAGAAGGCUAAUGUUAUAAAGCAAGACAUAAACAACAGCUUGACAAAUCCUGCCAGUUAAGAAUUUUUUUUAGCAUAGAAAAGGGAAUAUCAAGAUAUUUCAAGUAAUAUGAAAUAGUUUAUGGCCAUAUUUAGUGUCCUUUUAUGUCAGAAAAUGGAAUGGCAGGAAAGUAAACUCUCAGGACUUUGUCAUAUGUGUUACAGAGAGACUUAGUAAUUCACCAUUGACAUGGUGCUUGGAGCGGGAAGGGUGGGGGCAGGAGUUUAGCUCUGGGCUUGCCCUAACCAUACUGACACCCUGUGAGUUAGAGCUGGUGAAAAAUAGAGGCAAGGAAGAGAACAAGACGACCUGUGGUCUAAAUUCCUGUAUUGCAAGUCUCCAAAGCUCUUAAUAUAAAUAUAUUUGGGAUAUAGAUAAGAUGAGUUGGGCAAGGGAUCUUAAUAAGGACAUGAGAAGUCAUUCAAACAUGUGCUUUAUUGCAUACAGUAAAUGUUUGUAUACGGCAAAAAUAACAAGUUGUCUUUUAUUAUUGAAGUUUAUCAAUGAAAAUACUUUUCACAUGUCUAUUUGUUGCUGAUUGGGCUAUAUUUUUAUCACUGUAACACCCCUUCUGUGUUUAGAUCCUAACUUCUGUUGGCAGUGGGAGAGAGAGAAAUGAGGUUGCUUUUCACAUGCUAUGUAAACUCUGAAGCUGAGCACCUUAUGUUGUGGAAUCAUCUGUUUCCUUUCUAUGUUGGUUAAAAGAUAUAGGUGGCAGAAAUUGUGUUAAGAACACAAUAAAAAGCUAACGGCACAACCAUUGCCACCAUCAUCAAGAAGAAGCAAAAUUUUGUGUAAGUAUAUUUUCUAGAGUUUCUGGAUUAAUCUUUGAGGUGAAACCAGUGUAUUAAUAUGUUUUUCAUUUGUAGGUGGCAAAAAAACACAACUAAAAUUGUACUUAUGCAAUGAAAGAGAUUUAUUGACAGACUUAAAUGUCAAAAGUUGUGUGUAUGAUUUUGGGUUGGGGUUGAUGCAUUGCUUAGCCAUUGUAACCAGGGCUGGGUUUGUACAAUCUCCAAUAACCUUCCAUCCUGUUAGUUUCAACUCACAGGAAGCUGUAGGCUCUCAUUUGAUGGUGGCAAAAGGAAGGAAGCACAUCUAGACUUGACUUCUUCACAUCAAGUCCUCCAGAGAAAUUUUCGAGAAGUCUGGACUUGCUCUCAUAAGGGUCAAAUCAGGUCAUGAUACGUCCAAACCAGGGGAAUACUGCCUGUCAUUUUGGCCUGCUCCUACUUUUUUGAGACCAGUAGGCUGAGAGAGAAUACAUGAUUGAGAACAGUGAGGCAGCCUUUUUCUACAGUGAUUGACAGAUGGGUAAAAAAAAAAGGAGCUGUCUUAAGGAAUCUACAGCAAGUGAGACCAACUCUAAAUUGAGACCAGAAGGUAGGAAUGUAUACUAAAUGAAAAACAGGACAAGAUUUUUGCAGAGUUACUUAUCACUUUAACUUAGAACAUGUGCCUAGUCUCCUCUCCUUAUCUUUAGUAUAGAGAUGACUUAAUGUUCUAAUACAAUUUUGAUCAGGCCAAAACUUCAAAGCCUUUCACAAAUGGUAGAAAUAGUACAUACUGAUAUCGAUUUUAUACAAUAACAUGAAAAUAAUUAAGACCCAAAUGAAUAGGAAAGAAAACAAAGACUGUCUUAGUGUGGCCCAACAAUGCCCCCUUGAUUCACUAUUUAUAAGCAGCUUGUUUUAAUCCAUUAAGGAGAGAUAGGGAAAGGAAAAAAUAUAAAGAGGAGAAGGACCUCUGGAAGAUGAUCAAAAAAUGUAUAUUCUGGUGAGCCAGUUUAUUUAUGGAGGGGAAGCCCCUGCCCCUGACUGUCCCUUCUGAGAUUAUCUCUGAAUUUCUAUAGAGAAAGUGGUCAUUAGAUUAACAAUGUUCCCUAAACAUUUGAGACCAUAGUUAAAAUUUUCUAUACCUAACAAAACUUUUUAAAAAGGGAUACUUAGUAGUAUAAGUCUUCGACUUCUUUAAACUAGAAUUCUUCCUGGUGUCACAAAUGCAGGCAAAAGGUUAAAAUGGCAGGGAAUAUAUUAGUCUAAAACUAAACUUUGGGUCUCGGGUAAUAUACUCAAAGAACAUGGUGGAAUGGGGCUUAUAAGCUGUGUAAGUAUGAUAGGAAUAUUGCUUUCCCUGAAUUUUUUGCACGGCUAGAAUGUCAAUGCUGAAGAUUCAUUUUGAUCUAGAAACUGGGUGCACUUUUCCUUAGUGCAACACAGUCCUUAGGACUGUGCUGUGUGAAGUAUUUUCAAGCUGCAGUAUAUUACAUGUACUCUCAGGGCUCUCUUUGGGCAGAAUUGAUUUAAUACAAUAGAAUGCUUGCUCCAGAAAUGUGCUCAUGUAAAUAAAAACAUGAUUAGUUGGCUUAAAUUCAUUGCUCAUCAUGCAGUGGCCUAUUUAUCUCACCUUCCACCAUUCUAACCAUGUGCCAUAAAUCUACUUUUCCUGAAGUUACUCCUUUAUAACAUUUUGAUGAUAUUAAGAAAGUUCUUGACAAUACAGAGAGGUUUCUAAAAUUACCUUUAA